ensembl:snRNA U6 U6 spliceosomal RNA
AUUUGGCAGCACUAGCACAUUAAAACUAGUGUUUUAAUGAUACAGAGAAGAUUCGAAUGGCCCCUGUGCAAGGAUGACAUGUAAAUUUGUGAAGUGUUCCAUAAAAAA